CCUACGGGUGGCAGCAGUGGGGAAUAUUGCACAAUGGGGGAAACCCUGAUGCAGCGACGCCGCGUGAGCGAUGAAGUACUUCGGUAUGUAAAGCUCUAUCAGCAGGGAAGAAAAUGACGGUACUUGACUAUGAAGCCCCGGCUAACUACGUGCCAGCAGCCGCGGUACUACGUAGGGGGCAAGCGUUAUCCGGAUUUACUGGGGGUAAAGGGAGCGUAGAUGGUUUUGCAAGCCAGAUGGGAAAGCCCGGGGCUCAAUCCGGGGAUUGCAUUUGGAACUGUAAGGCUGGAGUGCCGGAGAGGCAGGCGGAAUUCCUGGUGUAGCGGUGAAAUGCGUAGAUAUUAGGAGGAACACCAGUGGCGAAGGCGGCCUGCUGGACGGUGACUGACGUUGAGGCUCGAAAGCGUGGGGAGCAAACAGGAUUAGAUACCCCAGUAGUC
rnacentral:rRNA from 1 species